UACGUAGGGUGCAGGCGUUAAUCGGAAUUACUGGGCGUAAAGCGUGCGCAGGCGGUUUGCUAAGACAGGUGUGAAAUCCCAUGGCUCAACCAUGGAAGUGCACCCGAAACUGCGUCGCUAGAGUCCUGGAGAGGAAGGUGGAAUGCUUGGUGUAGAGGUGAAAUUCGUAGAUAUCAAGCGGAACACCGGUGGCGAAGGCGGCCAACUGGCCCGAUACUGACGCUGAGGCGCGAAAGCGUGGGGAGCAAACAGG
rnacentral:rRNA from 1 species